rnacentral:lncRNA from 10 species
CUAAGAAUUCUGCCUACUGCAUCAGAACUAAUUUGAUUCCUGCAAGUUCUUACCGUUGUUUCUCUUCAGGAAUAACUUUUGGGUUGGGCCCUCGUAUUGCCAGUUUUUCUUCCUGCUUUUUCCCCAGGCUGACCUGUGGCUUGCCUGAAAUGUCAUAAAAUUCUUCCGGGGGCUCUGUGUUCUCUGAUGACCACCUGCAAUUACAAUCCCAACAAGAGGAAUUUACUACAGUACAUGGGAAAAAACCCAAGGCUCAUGGCAUUUAAUGACUUUCACCAGUUCUACAUUGAAUCUGAGAGUGAGCCAGCAUUUUGUGCUUGUGCAGAGGAAGCAAUAAAUGUCAGUAAGCAGUGCAUCAAAAGUAGCAACACAUUUAAAAUGAUAAGGAAUAAAAAGCAAUGUUUAAAGUAGUCAAACUUGCUCUUCUUCACCACAAUAUAUGUCAAUAUGUUGGUUACCUGCAAUUUAUAAUGACGUAUUACAAUACAUGGAAGAGUAAGUAAGCCAAGUGGCCUGAUACUUAUCAUGAGGUUGGAAGGCUAUCAUUUGCAGUCAUGAAAAUGUGUCUGCAUUACAGCUUAAGGACCAUCCCCUUUCCUUUUUUCAGCUUUUCUAGUAGACUGGUGGACACAGAUGACAAGGAGGCGCGUCUUGUCCUCAUGUGGUCUACAGUCUGGUAGGAAGACAUAACUGACGUCUUAUACAAAAGGUCUGAAAGCAGGAAGAAGUAACCAAAUGCUUUAAUGGAGACAAGGAAGUGAGUCAUUCUCAGCUGAGUGGAACCCUCACUCAGGUGGCGCAUCAAGAUUGCUGCUUGUCAAUACAGACAACUGGGAUAACCGAGGCCUCUAAACCAGCCAGAACACUCACGGAUUCUGUAGUAGUCAGUCCUCAAGUUUGUUGGUGUGACCCUGAAGGCAGCGCUUCAUCCUCUAACUUACCUACGCAUCCACACUGGGCUCCAUAUGAAUGGCAGCUGGUCGUCUACUUCACAAUUUAACUUGGGAUCAAAUGUGCUCUUCUGGAAGCUGACUUUAAGGCAGGGAAUGUUCAGGGUAGCUGAAAUCUGCAGAAGCUGGCAGCCUGGGAGCAUGGUGCUUCAAUCCAGGGCUGGCCAGCAGCAGUGCUGUGAUGGGGGCCCAGGUGCUCUUUGGUGUCCUGAACCAUGAUUAUGUGUUUCUGUUGAGAGCUUAUUAUAUACCAGGCAUUGCACUGAGCAUUGUUCAUGGGUUCUCAGACUUAGUCUUCACAACAGUUCUGUGAGCAAUCAUCUAGAAUCAUUCUUGUUUGGAUGAGACACUGCAGUUCAUAAAGGUUAACUUCUCCUAAGUAAUAAGUGGUGGAGCUGGGCCUUGAGCCCAGGUGCUCUGAUGUUGUCUCUUAUCUUCCUUACUCUGUCAGAACUUGACUUCAGUAAUGGCGUUAGAGAGACAUAUUAGUGUCAGGUGUAAAUACCCACCGAGAGGCAGUGUGGUGCAGGGAUCGGGGACAUGGACUGUGGAGUCAGUCUAUCCAACACACGUGGGUUUGAUCCUGGCCCCAAACCUCCCCUGUGUGGAUGAAUAAAUGACCUAACUCUCCAACCCUCUGUGUUCGCAUCUGUAAGGUGCUGGUAACAGCCACACGUCCCGUAAGCAUGAGAUGAUAUCACAUCUACAAAACUCCUGGCACACGGCAUCCUCUCAAUGUUAGCUGUGAUUAUUAUCCACAAGGAGUUAUGUGAGAAUGUUCCUCCAGUGGGAUAUCUGUGAUUUACCUAUUAGAUAU